rnacentral:rRNA from 1 species
AGCGAACGCUGGCGGCAGGCUUAACACAUGCAAGUCGAACGGGCAUAGCAAUAUGUCAGUGGCAGACGGGUGAGUAACGCGUGGGAACGUACCUUUUGGUUCGGAACAACACAGGGAAACUUGUGCUAAUACCGGAUAAGCCCUUACGGGGAAAGAUUUAUCGCCGAAAGAUCGGCUCGCGUCUGAUUAGCUAGUUGGUAGGGUAAUGGCCUACCAAGGCGACGAUCAGUAGCUGGUCUGAGAGGAUGAUCAGCCACAUUGGGACUGAGACACGGCCCAAACUCCUACGGGAGGCAGCAGAGGGGAAUAUUGGACAAUGGGCGAAAGCCUGAUCCAGCCAUGCCGCGUGAGUGAUGAAGGCGGUAGGGUUGUAAAGCUCUUUUGUGCGGGAAGAUAAUGACGGUACCGCAAGAAUAAGCCCCGGCUAACUUCGUG